rnacentral:rRNA from 1 species
UGCGCAGGCGGCUCCUUAAGUCAGAUGUGAAAGCCCCGGGCUUAACCUGGGAACUGCGUUUGAAACUGGGGAGCUAGAGUGUAGAAGAGGGGGGUGGAAUUCCAGGUGUAGCGGUGAAAUGCGUAGAGAUCUGGAGGAACACCGAUGGCGAAGGCAGCCCCCUGGGCUAACACUGACGCUCAUGCACGAAAGCGUGGGGAAGCAAACA